rnacentral:lncRNA from 1 species
CAUAAGAGAACACAUACAGCUGAUAAACCGUAUGUCUGUGAUGAAUGUGGUAAAGGGUUUAGACUGCUUGGUAAUUUACAGGCUCACAUGAGAACACAUGCAGAGGAUAAACCUUAUGACUGUGGAGAAUGUGGUAAAGGGUUUAGUCGCCUUCGUUACUUACAAAUUCACAUGAGAACACAUACAGGUGAUAAACCUUAUGACUGUGAUGUAUGUGGUAAAAAGUUUAGUCAACCUAGUAAUUUAAAGACUCAUAGGAGAACACACACAGGAGGUAAACCUCAUGACUGUAAUAUAUGUGGUAAAAGGUUUAGUGAGCAAGGUGAUGUACAGACUCACAUGAGAAUACAUACAGGUGAUAUUAAAACCUGAUGACUGUUGUAAAUGUGGUAAAGGGUUUAGUCAAAUUGCUAGUAUAAAAAGAUACAUGAAAAGAC